CAUGCUCUCGCUCUCCCUAUGCUAUCUCUCAUCUAGGAAAAGAUGAUUUGUAGGAGGUUUAGCCUCUGACCCCGGAUGAUACAAUCCAUGAUGCCAAUAACUCGAUCCGAGAUAAGAUCAAAACAUCCAGUCUUGGGUAGAAUAAUCCGACCUACUAUAUGACUAAGAACUCUCAUCUCUACUAUCAAGUAUUUAACUUCAUGCCCCAAAAUCCCAUAAACGUUCUCUCUACCCA
rnacentral:lncRNA from 1 species